UAUGAAAUCGGAUUGCUAGCCUCCACCCGUGUUCUAGCUCGUCGGAGAGCUAAAUUUGCCUCCUUCCUUCAGCUUUUUUCACAUUAGCUUCCGCUAUUUCAAGAGUUUGCUGAGCUUCUUGUGGAUCAAUGUCACUACCCCUCUCCGCAUCAUUUACUAAAACAGUGAUCUCAUUAUUUCCUAUUCUAGCAAAACCACCCAUCAGAGCCAUCGUUAACCAUUGGUCGUUAAGGCGUAUUCUCAAAAUCCCUAUAUCUACAGCUGUGGCAAUAGGGGCGUGAUUUGGUAAUAUGCCAAUUUGACCACUAUUAGUAGAUAAAACAAUUUCUUCCACUUCUGAAUCCCAAACAAUUCGAUUAGGGGUCAGUACACUAAGAUUUAAGGUCAUUUCUUCAAAUUGCUCUCCAUUUCUAAGUUCAUAGCCUUCGCGGUAGCUUCAUCGAUAGUACCUACCAAAUAAAAGGCCUGUUCAGGAAGACCAUCUAAUUCUCCGGAAAGGAUCAAUUGAAAUCCUCGAAUUGUUUCUGCUAGACCAACAUAUUUCCCUGGAGAACCGGUAAAUACUUCUGCUACGAAAAAGGGUUGUGAUAAGAAACGCUCAAUUUUUCGCGCUCUUGCUACGAGUAAACGAUCCUCUUCGGAUAAUUCGUCCAAUCCAAGGAUAGCUAUAAUGUCCUGAAGUUCUUUGUAACGUUGUAAAGUUUGCUUAACUCUUUGGGCGGUUUCGUAAUGUUCCUCACCAACGAUCCGAGGNUUAUGAAAUCGGAUUGCUAGCCUCCACCCGUGUUCUAGCUCGUCGGAGAGCUAGAUUUGCCUCAAUUUUUUGUCUCCUUCCUUCAGCCUUUUUCACAUUAGCUUCCGCUAUUUCAAGAGUUUGCUGAGCUUCUUGUGGAUCAAUGUCACUACCCCUCUCCGCAUCAUUUACUAAAACAGUGAUCUCAUUAUUUCCUAUUCUAGCAAAACCACCCAUCAGAGCCAUC
rnacentral:lncRNA from 1 species